rnacentral:rRNA from 1 species
AGAGUUUGAUCAUGGCUCAGAUUGAACGCUGGCGGCAUGCUUUACACAUGCAAGUCGAACGGCAGCGGGGGCUUCGGCCUGCCGGCGAGUGGCGAACGGGUGAGUAAUGCAUCGGAACGUGCCCAUGUCGUGGGGGAUAACGUAUCGAAAGGUACGCUAAUACCGCAUACAUCCUGAGGGAGAAAGCGGGGGAUCGCAAGGCCUCACGUUAUUCGAGCGGCCGACGUCUGAUUAGCUAGUUGGUGGGGUAAUGGCUCACCAAGGCGACGAUCAGUAGCGGGUCUGAGAGGAUGAUCCGCCACACUGGGACUGAGACACGGCCCAGACUCCUACGGGAGGCAGCAGUGGGGAAUUUUGGACAAUGGGCGCAAGCCUGAUCCAGCCAUUCCGCGUGAGUGAAGAAGGCCUUCGGGUUGUAAAGCUCUUUCGGCAGGAACGAAACGGCGGGCUCUAACAUAGCCUGUUAAUGACGGUACCUGCAGAAGAAGCACCGGCUAACUACGUGCCAGCAGCCGCGGUAAUACGUAGGGUGCGAGCGUUAAUCGGAAUUACUGGGCGUAAAGCGUGCGCAGGCGGAUUGUUAAGCAAGACGUGAAAUUCCCCGGGCUUAACCUGGGAAUGGCGUUUUGAACUGGCAGUCUAGAGUGCGUCAGAGGGGGGUGGAAUUCCACGUGUAGCAGUGAAAUGCGUAGAGAUGUGGAGGAACACCGAUGGCGAAGGCAGCCCCCUGGGCCUGUACUGACGCUCAUGCACGAAAGCGUGGGGAGCAAAGAGGAUUAGAUACCCUGGUAGUCCACGCCCUAAACGAUGUCGACUAGUCGUUCGGAGCAGCAAUGCACUGAGUGACGCAGCUAACGCGUGAAGUCGACCGCCUGGGGAGUACGGCCGCAAGGUUAAAACUCAAAGGAAUUGACGGGGACCCGCACAAGCGGUGGAUGAUGUGGAUUAAUUCGAUGCAACGCGAAAAACCUUACCUACCCUUGACAUGUCUGGAACCUUGCUGAGAGGCGAGGGUGCCUUCGGGAGCCAGAACACAGGUGCUGCAUGGCUGUCGUCAGCUCGUGUCGUGAGAUGUUGGGUUAAGUCCCGCAACGAGCGCAACCCUUGUCACUAGUUGCCAUCAUUUAGUUGGGCACUCUAGUGAGACUGCCGGUGACAAACCGGAGGAAGGUGGGGAUGACGUCAAGUCCUCAUGGCCCUUAUGGGUAGGGCUUCACACGUCAUACAAUGGUCGGUACAGAGGGUUGCCAAGCCGCGAGGUGGAGCCAAUCCCUUAAAGCCUAUCGUAGUCCGGAUCGUAGUCUGCAACUCGACUACGUGAAGUCGGAAUCGCUAGUAAUCGCAGAUCAGCAUGCUGCGGUGAAUACGUUCCCGGGUCUUGUACACACCGCCCGUCACACCAUGGGAGUGGGUUUCACCAGAAGUAGGUAGCUUAACCGCAAGGAGGGCGCUUACCACUUUGUGGCCGAUGACUGGGGUGAAGUCGUAACAAGGUAGCC